rnacentral:rRNA from 1 species
GGGUUGUGAGGUUAAGCGACUAAGCGUACACGGUGGAUGCCCUGGCAGUCAGAGGCGAUGAAGGACGUGCUAAUCUGCGAAAAGCGUCGGUAAGGUGAUAUGAACCGUUAUAACCGGCGAUGUCCGAAUGGGGAAACCCAGUGCAAUUCGUUGCACUAUCGUUAACUGAAUACAUAGGUUAACGAGGCGAACCGGGGGAACUGAAACAUCUAAGUACCCCGAGGAAAAGAAAUCAACCGAGAUUCCCCCAGUAGCGGCGAGCGAACGGGGAGCAGCCCAGAGUCUGAAUCAGCUUGUGUGUUAGUGGAACGGUCUGGAAAGUCCGACGGUACAGGGUGAUAGUCCCGUACACCAAAAUGCACAGGUUGUGAACUCGAAGAGUAGGGCGGGACACGUGGUAUCCUGUCUGAAUAUGGGGGGACCAUCCUCCAAGGCUAAAUACUCCUGACUGACCGAUAGUGAACCAGUACCGUGAGGGAAAGGCGAAAAGAACCCCGGCGAGGGGAGUGAAAAAGAACCUGAAACCGUGUACGUACAAGCAGUGGGAGCACCUUCGGGUGUGACUGCGUACCUUUUGUAUAAUGGGUCAGCGACUUAUAUUCUGUAGCAAGGUUAACCGUAUAGGGGAGCCGCAGGGAAACCGAGUCUUAACUGGGCGUUAAGUUGCAGGGUAUAGACCCGAAACCCGGUGAUCUAGCCAUGGGCAGGUUGAAGGUUGGGUAACACUAACUGGAGGACCGAACCGACUAAUGUUGAAAAAUUAGCGGAUGACUUGUGGCUGGGGGUGAAAGGCCAAUCAAACCGGGAGAUAGCUGGUUCUCCCCGAAAGCUAUUUAGGUAGCGCCUCGUGAACUCAUCUUCGGGGGUAGAGCACUGUUUCGGCUAGGGGGUCAUCCCGACUUACCAACCCGAUGCAAACUACGAAUACCGAAGAAUGUUAUCACGGGAGACACACGGCGGGUGCUAACGUCCGUCGUGAAGAGGGAAACAACCCAGACCGCCAGCUAAGGUCCCAAAGUCAUGGUUAAGUGGGAAACGAUGUGGGAAGGCACAGACAGCCAGGAUGUUGGCUUAGAAGCAGCCAUCAUUUAAAGAAAGCGUAAUAGCUCACUGGUCGAGUCGGCCUGCGCGGAAGAUGUAACGGGGCUAAACCAUGCACCGAAGCUGCGGCAGCGACACUAUGUGUUGUUGGGUAGGGGAGCGUUCUGUAAGCCUGCGAAGGUGACCUGUGAGGGUUGCUGGAGGUAUCAGAAGUGCGAAUGCUGACAUAAGUAACGAUAAAGCGGGUGAAAAGCCCGCUCGCCGGAAGACCAAGGGUUCCUGUCCAACGUUAAUCGGGGCAGGGUGAGUCGACCCCUAAGGCGAGGCCGAAAGGCGUAGUCGAUGGGAAACAGGUUAAUAUUCCUGUACUUGGUGUUACUGCGAAGGGGGGACGGAGAAGGCUAUGUUAGCCGGGCGACGGUUGUCCCGGUUUAAGCAUGUAGGCUGGUUGUCCAGGCAAAUCCGGAUAAUCAAGGCUGAGGUGUGAUGACGAGGCACUACGGUGCUGAAGUAACAAAUGCCCUGCUUCCAGGAAAAGCCUCUAAGCAUCAGGUAACAUUAAAUCGUACCCCAAACCGACACAGGUGGUCAGGUAGAGAAUACCAAGGCGCUUGAGAGAACUCGGGUGAAGGAACUAGGCAAAAUAGUGCCGUAACUUCGGGAGAAGGCACGCUGGUGUGUAGGUGAAGUCCCUGCGGAUGGAGCUGAGACCAGUCGAAGAUACCAGCUGGCUGCAACUGUUUAUUAAAAACACAGCACUGUGCAAACACGAAAGUGGACGUAUACGGUGUGACGCCUGCCCGGUGCCGGAAGGUUAAUUGAUGGGGUUAUCCGUAAGGAGAAGCUCUUGAUCGAAGCCCCGGUAAACGGCGGCCGUAACUAUAACGGUCCUAAGGUAGCGAAAUUCCUUGUCGGGUAAGUUCCGACCUGCACGAAUGGCGUAAUGAUGGCCAGGCUGUCUCCACCCGAGACUCAGUGAAAUUGAACUCGCUGUGAAGAUGCAGUGUACCCGCGGCAAGACGGAAAGACCCCGUGAACCUUUACUAUAGCUUGACACUGAACAUUGAGCCUUGAUGUGUAGGAUAGGUGGGAGGCUUUGAAGCGUGGACGCCAGUCUGCGUGGAGCCAACCUUGAAAUACCACCCUUUAAUGUUUGAUGUUCUAACGUUGGCCCCUUACCGGGGUUGCGGACAGUGUCUGGUGGGUAGUUUGACUGGGGCGGUCUCCUCCCAAAGCGUAACGGAGGAGCACGAAGGUUAGCUAAUCCUGGUCGGACAUCAGGAGGUUAGUGCAAUGGCAUAAGCUAGCUUGACUGCGAGCGUGACGGCGCGAGCAGGUGCGAAAGCAGGUCAUAGUGAUCCGGUGGUUCUGAAUGGAAGGGCCAUCGCUCAACGGAUAAAAGGUACUCCGGGGAUAACAGGCUGAUACCGCCCAAGAGUUCAUAUCGACGGCGGUGUUUGGCACCUCGAUGUCGGCUCAUCACAUCCUGGGGCUGAAGUAGGUCCCAAGGGUAUGGCUGUUCGCCAUUUAAAGUGGUACGCGAGCUGGGUUUAGAACGUCGUGAGACAGUUCGGUCCCUAUCUGCCGUGGGCGCUGGAGAAUUGAGGGGGGCUGCUCCUAGUACGAGAGGACCGGAGUGGACGCAUCACUGGUGUUCGGGUUGUCAUGCCAAUGGCACUGCCCGGUAGCUAAAUGCGGAAGAGAUAAGUGCUGAAAGCAUCUAAGCACGAAACUUGCCCCGAGAUGAGUUCUCCCUGAGACUUUAAGUCUCCUGAAGGAACGUUGAAGACGACGACGUUGAUAGGCCGGGUGUGUAAGCGCAGCGAUGCGUUGAGCUAACCGGUACUAAUGAACCGUGAGGCUUAACCUUACAACGCCGAAG